rnacentral:ncRNA from 1 species
CUAGUGUUUGCGGGUCGCUGCAAAAUCAGUGACCGGGUUUGGUCGCCCGGGUU